rnacentral:rRNA from 1 species
UAGUGGCGAACGGGUGAGUAACACGUGGGCAAUCUGCCCUGCACUCUGGGACAAGCCCUGGAAACGGGGUCUAAUACCGGAUAAUACCUGCCGAGGCAUCUCGGUGGGUUGAAAGCUCCGGCGGUGCAGGAUGAGCCCGCGGCCUAUCAGCUUGUUGGUGGGGUGAUGGCCUACCAAGGCGACGACGGGUAGCCGGCCUGAGAGGGCGACCGGCCACACUGGGACUGAGACACGGCCCAGACUCCUACGGGAGGCAGCAGUGGGGAAUAUUGCACAAUGGGCGAAAGCCUGAUGCAGCGACGCCGCGUGAGGGAUGACGGCCUUCGGGUUGUAAACCUCUUUCAGCAGGGAAGAAGCGAAAGUGACGGUACCUGCAGAAGAAGCGCCGGCUAACUACGUGCCAGCAGCCGCGGUAAUACGUAGGGCGCAAGCGUUGUCCGGAAUUAUUGGGCGUAAAGAGCUCGUAGGCGGCUUGUUGCGUCGGAUGUGAAAGCCCGGGGCUUAACCCCGGGUCUGCAUUCGAUACGGGCAGGCUAGAGUUCGGUAGGGGAGAUCGGAAUUCCUGGUGUAGCGGUGAAAUGCGCAGAUAUCAGGAGGAACACCGGUGGCGAAGGCGGAUCUCUGGGCCGAUACUGACGCUGAGG